UUUUGCUACCUCUUGUGUUUGGGAGCUACGUAUGGAUUUAGCUCCGUGAUUUAUUUCAAUUACUGAUGAAAAAAACUUGGCGUGAAUGAAAUGGUUUACUGUGUGAUUUAGUUCAAAGCUGUUGCUGCCAUUGGCUUGUAACGCUGCAGCUUAUUGCCUGUGGAGAGAGCAGGAGCUACACAUCAGACCACCAACCACACGUUUGCUAACAGUGGUUCCUGUCUGUUUGAUGCUCAUUAAAAGAUGAAGCACCUUAAGAUUGAAUACCUGAUGUGGACCAGCAAGACCCAGAGCCUCUAAUCAUAGAGUGGAUGAGAAGACCCUUGGACCAGUCUGGUGGGAGACCAACUCAGUAUGGAGGAGACCGAUAUCAGGUUUUUGGUCACUACAGUUCCUUUAAACGGUGAGGAGGAUAAUCAAAACCUUACCAGGAACCCAGAUUUAAAGACUCACAAAGACAUGUCCAGCUCUUCAAAGACUGACGUUAAUGAGGACGAUGAAAAGGAUGGUGAAAUGACCAAUCCUGACUCUCUGCUAAAGAACUCAUCAGACUCUGAAUCAGAACAUGAAGACAGUAUAAAAGACUGGAAGGACAGCAUGGCUUCUGAAUCAGAGGUAAAACAUGUCAACAAAUCUUUGAGCUGCUCUGAGUGUGGUAAGCAGUAUGUCAGUAGCCAGUCUCUUCAAAGACACAUGACACGUCAUUCAGGAUUAAAGUCUUCAGGGCCAAACUCAAUAAGCAGUGAUGACUCUGGUGAAAAAUUCACUUGCAAAGCACAUCUAAACUCACACAUUAGAGUCCAUACAGAAGACAAACCAUUUCUUUGUCAUCUUUGUGGACAAAGAUUUAGUCACAAAACAAAUGUGUACAGACACAUGCGAGUCCACACAGGAGACAAACCAUUUCCUUGUGAUUUUUGUGGACAAAGAUUUAAUCAGAAGACAAAUUUAUACACGCACAUGAGAGUCCACAUAGGAGACAAACCAUUUCCUUGUGAUCAGUGUGAAAAA